GAUGAACGCUGGCGGCGUGCUUAACACAUGCAAGUCGAACGGACGGCGAAGAGCUUGCUCUUCAAAGUUAGUGGCGGACGGGUGAGUAACGCGUGGGUAACCUACCCUAUGCAGGGGGAUAACGUUUGGAAACGAACGCUAAUACCGCAUAACCUAGUUGGUUCGCAUGAACCGAUUAGCAAAGAUUUUAUCGGCAUAGGAUGGACCCGCGUUGGAUUAGCUAGUUGGUGAGAUAAAAGCUCACCAAGGCGACGAUCCAUAGCCGGCCUGAGAGGGUGAACGGCCACACUGGGACUGAGACACGGCCCAGACUCCUACGGGAGGCAG
rnacentral:rRNA from 1 species